AGCCUGGCCAGCUACCUGAGCGACGAGAGCCUGGCCGACUACGAGUACUUCGUCAAGAUGAAGUCGGCCCUCAUCAUCGAGCAGCGGGAGCUGGAGGACAAGAUCCACCUGGGCGAGGAGCAGCUCAAGUGCCUGGUGGACAGCCUGCAGCCCGAGAGGAGCAAAUGAGCGGCCUCCUGGGGGCGGAGCCGGCCUGCGCACCGCCCCGGGCAGCGGGCCCCAGCCUGGAUGGAGGUCCCGUAGUGAGAACCCUCUCGUAGUGUCGUGGCUGUUAGAAUAUUGAUAACUCGUGUUUGUCUGGGGUGAUGCAUUGGGCGUCUAGUUUCCCUGUGGAUGCUGAGCAGAGCGGCUCCCCGUGGGGUGUUGUCUUUUACAAGGAGCCCCACGGGGCACGGGCCCUGGUGGCUGGCGAGCUUCCGCCACGGAGACCACAGGCUCUGUCCCGUGCUGCACGCGAGGGCCCCUUGGUGGCGGUCGCUCUGGCUUCCUGUGUCUUCCGCUGCCAAACCGGCCGCUUGGGCAGCACUCAGCGAGUCCCCAGAGGGCACAGGGUGGGCCACCUGGCGCACAUCUUCUCUUGUGAUCCACGAGGGGCGUGGCCUGCCACAUUUUAUGCGUGUCCGUCCCAUGCUGUUAGCGUUCACUGUCUCAUAUAAUGUGCUCUCUGACCCAGCACAAACCUGUGGUGAUGAUGAAGACGGUGAUAAUUUAUUAACAUAGUAGUUUCCAAGUGGUUAGGAACCAACUGUGAAGUGCAUAGCCUGUGUGUUGGGUCGCUCAUUCUAAAAGCGCCGCUCGAGUCGUGUGCAUGCCUUCAAAGCCGCGCACCAAGCGGACAGCUUCAGUCCGCCCCACCCGGCGGCGCGGGUCAGGCGUGUUCCCGCAACGGAAACGCCUGGUAAAAGCAUGCCCUGAAGGCCCAUUCUGUUUCCUAAGAGCCCGCCUCCGGACUUCCGGGGGUCCCUCUGCAACUUUGCCACAGAGUUGACCGAUCCCAGGCCCUUUUUAUUGGUUGACAUUGCAAUAUUCUGAAGAGUCUAUUCACUUAAAAGACAAACGCUGUCAUGGUGUCAAUUUGCAGUUGACAAGUCAGGCUGGGAGAAAUGGUCUGCAAAUCACAUAUGUGACAAAGGAAUCAUCUCCAGAAUAUAUGAAAAACUCUGUACAACUCAACCGCAAGGAAACCAACAGCCCAGCUGAAACAGGGACAAAAGAUUUCACCAAAGAGGACACAUGCGUGGCAAGUAAGCGUAGGAGAAAGAUGGUCAACCGCCAAUGGCUGGGUGGUAACUUAUUUUUACCUAAAUCACUGUGGAGCCGGUAUGUUUCUUCUCAGAUGCUCAGCUGAUGCAGCGCAUGCUUAAUGGUGGGGAACCCCUUGGAUGAGUUCAUGUCAGGGUAGCGUGUACCCUUGUUGGAUGGAGGGGUUAUUUGAAUCCUGUUUCCCCUUAUUCCCUAUACAAGAAGUUUUCCAGCGGGUGGGGAGACCUCUGUCAUCAGUGACUGCCACCUAACCAAACCACACACCCACCAGUGUCUUAGGACCACGGUCCACCUUCCUGAGCCGGAGGCGGCGAGCCAGGCUCCCGGGCCGCGGGGAAGGGUCCGCACGGACCAGCUUCAGGCGCGCAAGCGUCACCGCUCCUUUCGGCCACUUUCCAGGCGCGUUCACUGCUGUUAGUUAAGCUGUGACGUGGGAAUCCUAACACUUGCGGUGAAAAGUGGCCACGUUGGAGAAGGUCCGGCUGGCUGCUCGCGGACCCCCGUGGUCCUCCCUCGGGGGGACCACGGCCAUUCCGUGUGUUUGCUUUUUAAUGUAGACAAAGCUUUUACCUGUGACGCUUGCCUGUCCGAUACAGUGUUGUGGCCGUUGUGAUGCUAUGUAUGUAAAUGUGAAUCUAGAAAGUGUUGUGUCUGUGCCGGCCUUUUGAUGUCUUUGAGGACUUCCUUCUCCGUGGGAAUAUGUAGUGCAAUUCCCCUUUUAGCGAAGCCCCUGUGCCCACACCGUCCUGUCCAGUCCCCGCCUGCCUCUUCAAUGUCUGCUUGGCGGGACCCAAAGAUCCAGGAGUCCGUGUACAUACCUUUGUAUAUAGUAACAUCAGUGCAGAUAAUAACAGUCUGGUGCUAACGUCUGCCCUCUGCGCGGGUGGUAGCUGUUCCGGACUCUCUGGGAAGCUCAGCCGUGGAAUCCCCUGAAUCGCGCGACUUCAGCCAGGCCAUCGCCGGCAGUUCACUGUGGAAAUGUGUGCGGAUUCAUGCUCGAAGCUGACCACUUACCUCUCAACAGAUCAUCCUGCCUGACUUUGAUGAAAUAAAAUAGUGUCUUUGAGUGCAUGGA